rnacentral:rRNA from 1 species
AGUGAACGCUGGCGGUAGGCCUAACACAUGCAAGUCGAACGGCAGCACAGUAAGAGCUUGCUCUUACGGGUGGCGAGUGGCGGACGGGUGAGGAAUACAUCGGAAUCUACUUUUUCGUGGGGGAGAACGUAGGGAAACUUACGCUAAUACUGCAUACGACCUACGGGUGAAAGCAGGGGAUCUUCGGACCUUGCGCGAUUGAAUGAGCCGAUGUCGGAUUAGCUAGUUGGCGGGGUAAAGGCCCACCAAGGCGACGAUCCGUAGCUGGUCUGAGAGGAUGAUCAGCCACACUGGAACUGAGACACGGUCCAGACUCCUACGGGAGGCAGCAGUGGGGAAUAUUGGACAAUGGGCGCAAGCGUGUUCCAGCCAUACCGCGUGGGUGAAGAAGGCCUUCGGGUUGUAAAGCCCUUUUGUUGGGAAAGAAAAGCAGCAGGUUAAUACCCCGCUGUUCUGACGGUACCCAAAGAAUAAGCACCGGCUAACUUCGU